CCUCCAAUCAUCGCUUCUGUUCUCCUGGUGAAAUGAACUUUUUUUUUUGAUGUCCCAGAAGUCAGAGCAACUCCAGACAGCACAGCUUGGAGGAUGUCUUGCGUCUGGGGCAUGGAGCCUGGCAGGACUUGUGGCAGCCCUGAUUGAAUCCUGGGUGGUGCGAGAUGGUGAGCUGAGCUCUGACCUCUUCUAAAGGAGAAAUCAUGUAUAAUUUCUCUGGUCCAGUGACUGACACACACUUGAAAAUCAGAGCUCUAAUAGCCAUGCAGAACAUCCAGCAAACACUCCACGGAAUAAUAAAAGUCACAAAGUAUUCACAGGGAACAUACGGACGCUCCAGGCAGUUGGGGGUGGUAGCCAGGCAAAAGCCCUGAACUCAGGAAAAUCGAUCUGGGGAGGGAAAUAUUUUUUAAAUCAGAUGUCAGCUAACAUUUACACUGGAUUCUAUUCUAAGGAGUUUAGGGGUAUUAUCAUAUUUAAACCUCACAGCAGGCCCUAUAACGUGGGGUCCAUUAUCAGUCCCAUUUUAUAGAUGAGGAAUGGGGCAGUGAGUCACUUAACCGAAGAGUCACUCUGAGCCAAGACUGUCUUGCACCAGACUUGCUCCAAGUCUUGCCUAUGCUCUACAUCACGCUGGACAUCAUGGAACCUUGCCCCAUACAGAUGUGCAAGACUCACUAGAUAUUAGCUACGUCUUAUGAGCCAUCUAGUCAGCCCACUCAAGGUCUAGAGAAGGAAAUGGAGACCACAGCGGGGAAUGGCUUGUCUUAGUUUACAGACUGUUCCCAGCAGGGCUGGGCUAGAACUGAGGGCCCCGGCACUCGCUCAGCACACCUUCUGGCCUGAUGCAGCCCUCCGCUCUCCUCGCCUUUCUCUUCCUAGUGCAGCAUCUGUGCUUAUCGUGUGAAUUCUCCUAGUUGGUCUGGGGGUAGUUGGAGAAAUUGGUGUUUCUUUGCAAAUGAAGUUCAGAGUGCUCAUCCCACCAGACCGUUAUGUUAAAUAUGCUCAGGCUAAGUUAAGAAUGCACCAGUCAUAUCAUUGUGAAAGAUAAAAACAAAAAACCAAAAA